rnacentral:misc_RNA from 1 species
GUAGUAGAAAUUGAUGCAGUUUACACCAAACCCUUUACAACUCAAGCAAUACUUAUUGCACCAGGCCAGACCACAAACGUUCUUGUUCAAGCAACACAAUCGCCUGGCAGAUAUUUCAUGGCCGCCAGACCUUUCAUGGAUGCUCCACUUUUCAUUGACAAUAAAACUGCCACUGCUAUACUACAAUAUAAAGGCAUCUCAAACUCUGUGCUUCCUAUCCUUCCUCAGCUUCCAGCACCUAAUGACACAGUUUUCGCCCUUGGCUACAAUUCUAAGCUUAGAAGCCUAAACGCUCCACAAUUCCCAGCAAAUGUACCUCUUAAAGUGGACAGACAUCUUUUCUACACAAUUGGUUUAGGAAUGAACCCUUGUCCAUCUUGCUUAAAUGGAACUCAGCUCACAGCUUCCUUGAACAACAUAACUUUUGUAAUGCCUAAAAUUGGCCUCCUUCAAGCUCACUACUUCAACAUCAAGGGGGCAUUUAGAACAGACUUCCCAGAUAACCCUCCAACACCAUUCAAUUACACUGGUGCACCUCUUACUGCCAAUCUUGGCACUACCUCAGGCACCAGGCUUAGCAAAAUUGCCUACAAUUCAACUGUGCAAUUAGUAUUGCAAGACACAAAUCUUCUUACUGUUGAGUCACACCCAUUCCAUCUACAUGGCUACAAUUUCUUUGUAGUUGGAACUGGGAUUGGAAACUUUGAUCCUAAAAAGGACCCAGCAAAAUUUAACUUGGUUGAUCCUCCUGAAAGAAAUACAGUUGGAGUACCUACUGGAGGAUGGACUGCCAUAAGGUUCAGGGCAGAUAAUCCAGGGGUUUGGUUCAUGCAUUGUCACUUGGAGCUACAUACAGGCUGGGGUUUGAAAACAGCAUUUGUUGUUGAGAAUGGAAAAGGCCCAGAUCAAUCUAUCUUGCCUCCACCCAAGGAUCUUCCUCCUUGUUAACAGUUCAAUAACCAUACUUCCAACUGAUAAUUUCCACGUAACAAUCACUUGAAAGGUGCAAGAAUUAGAUUGGAGGCUAAUGUAUUAUAUGGAGGAACGGAAUUAAACAUUUUAAAAUUGUAACUAAUUGAAAUUGAAAUUGAAAGUGAAGUUGUGCAAUAAAUUUCUUGGUCCGCAGUGGCCCAUGUUUUAACCUCCGGGUCGAAAUAGAACAAUAAUUAAAAAUGUGUGUGAUAGGCCCUCUGAACAGCCACCAUUUAUACUGAUUUCAGCCCACAAUAAUUUACAGCAUGUUGAUACUUCGAAACUUAUGCCUAGCAGAAUUUGACUACAAAGCAAGCUAAUGCAACAAAAGUACUCCUAAAUGGUAUCCAAAGCUAGCUGGUGUCCUCAGCAGAAACUUAACCCAUCAUUACAUAUAUGGAUGAACAUGAAUUUUUAGCAUCUACUAUCUUAAAAUUGAAUUGUAGCAUCUACUCGCGCG